GCGUAGGCGGUCUUUAAAGUCAGGAGUGAAAGGCUACGGCUCAACCGUAGUAAGCUCUUGAAACUGGGAGACUUGAGUGCAGGAGAGGAGAGUGGAAUUCCUAGUGUAGCGGUGAAAUGCGUAGAUAUUAGGAGGAACACCAGUUGCGAAGGCGGCUCUCUGGACUGUAACUGACGCUGAGGCACGAAAGCGUGGGGAGCAAACAGGAUUAGAUACCCUGGUAGUCCACGCUGUAAACGAUGAGUACUAGG
rnacentral:rRNA from 1 species